GACGAACGCUGGCGGCGUGCCUAAUACAUGCAAGUCGAGCGGACGAAUCGAAAGCUUGCUUUUGAUUCGUUAGCGGCGGACGGGUGAGUAACACGUGGGCAACCUGCCCUGUAGACGGGGAUAACACCGAGAAAUCGGUGCUAAUACCGGAUAACACGAAAUGUCGCAUGACGUUUCGUUGAAAGACGGCGCAAGCUGCCGCUACAGGAUGGGCCCGCGGCGCAUUAGCUAGUUGGUGAGGUAACGGCUCACCAAGGCGACGAUACGUAGCCGACCUGAGAGGGUGAUCGGCCACACUGGGACUGAGACACGGCCCAGACUCCUACGGGAGGCAGCAGUAGGGAAUCUUCCGCAAUGGACGAAAGUCUGACGGAGCAACGCCGCGUGAGCGAAGAAGGCCUUCGGGUCGUAAAGCUCUGUUGUUAGGGAAGAACAAGUAACGCAGUAACUGGCGUUACCGUGACGGUACUUAACGAGAAAGCCACGGCUAACUACGUG
rnacentral:rRNA from 1 species